CAGUAGCCACGGUAAUACGGAGGGAGCUAGCGUUGUUCGGAAUUACUGGGCGUAAAGCGUGCGUAGGUGGUGGUUUAAGUCCGUUGUGAAAGCCCUGGGCUCAACCAGGGAAUUGCAGUGGAUACUGGAUCACUAGAGUGUGGUAGAGGAUAGUGGAAUUUCCGGUGUAGCAGUGAAAUGCGUAGAGAUCGGAAGGAACAUCUGUGGCGAAGGCGACUAUCUGGGCCAACACUGACACUGAGGCACGAAAGCGUGGGGAGCAAACAGGAUUAGAUACCCCCGUAGUCCCUGUCUCUUAUAA
rnacentral:rRNA from 1 species